rnacentral:rRNA from 1 species
AUUGAACGCUGGCGGCAGGCUUAACACAUGCAAGUCGAGCGGGGUGAUGGUGCUUGCACUAUCACUUAGCGGCGGACGGGUGAGUAAUGCUUAGGAAUCUGCCUAUUAGUGGGGGACAGCAUCUCGAAAGGGAUGCUAAUACCGCAUACGUCCUACGGGAGAAAGCAGGGGAUCACUUGUGACCUUGCGCUAAUAGAUGAGCCUAAGUCGGAUUAGCUGGUUGGUGGGGUAACGGCCUACCAAGGCGACGAUCUGUAGCGGGUCUGAGGGGAUGAUCCGCCACACUUGGACGGAAACACGGCCCAGACUCCGACGGGAGGCAGCAGUGGGGAAUAUUGGACAAUGGGGGGAACCCUGAUCCAGCCAUGCCGCGUGUGUGAAGAAGGCCUUAUGGUUGUACAGCACUUUAAGCGAGGAGGAGGCUCUUUUGGUUAAUACCCAAGAUGAGUGGACGUUACUCGCAGAAUAAGCACCGGCUAACUCUGUGCCAGCCGCCGCCGUAA